GACGAACGCUGGCGGCGUGCUUAACACAUGCAAGUCGAACGGAAAGGCCCUGCUUUUGUGGGGUGCUCGAGUGGCGAACGGGUGAGUAACACGUGAGUAACCUGCCCUUGACUUUGGGAUAACUUCAGGAAACUGGGGCUAAUACCGGAUAGGAGCUCCUGCUGCAUGGUGGGGGUUGGAAAGUUUCGGCGGUUGGGGAUGGACUCGCGGCUUAUCAGCUUGUUGGUGGGGUAGUGGCUUACCAAGGCUUUGACGGGUAGCCGGCCUGAGAGGGUGACCGGGCAACAGGGGGACGAGGAAACGCCCCAGACUCAGGCGGGAGGCAGGAGGGGGGAAGAUGGCAAAAGGGGCGGAGGCCGAAUGAAGCAACGCGGGGGGGGGGAGGACGGCCUGGGGGUGGAAACCCGCUUGCGCCUGGGAAGAGGCGUGAGUGACGAUAAGGGGUAAAGAAGCACGGGAAAACUACGUG
rnacentral:rRNA from 1 species